rnacentral:ncRNA from 1 species
GAAAAUACCACGAUUGGGAAGAGUACGGUAUUCUACCCCUUUAGAGAGAGAAAUCAACUGCUGAAAGAUUUCUUAGGAAGGUAGCGCCAGAAGGUCGCCCAUGAGUAGCUUUCUUGAACGAUUUAGUAGGGAAAGCCGGUCGAACCGUUAUCGAAUCAAGUGUAUAGACACGACACGUGUAGUUCAUUUUAGUGUCUAUAAAAAAAGGUGGUACCGCGAACUCACUCCUUUCGUCCUUUUG